CACGUAGGCACCAAGCGUUGUCCGGAUUUAUUGGGCGUAAGAGCUCGUAGGCGGUUCAGUAAGUCGGGUGUGAAACUUUGGGCUUAACCCAAGCGUGCAUCCGAUACUGCUGUGACUUGAGUACGGUAGGGGAGCGGGGAAUUCCUAGUGGUAGCGGUGAAAUGCGCAGAUAUUAGGAGGAACACCGGUGGCGAAGGCGCCGGCUCUGGGCCGAAACUGACGCUGAGGAGCGAAAGCAUGGGUAGCAAACAGG
rnacentral:rRNA from 1 species